CAAAUCUGAACUUGCAUCCCAUGUGUUUGUGUUUUCUUGCAGAGGUGCUCAGAACAGUGGAUUUUGUGGCCCCUGAUGAUCGAGUCAUCUUCCGCACCUGUGAAAGAGAACAGAGCAGAGUGGUCUUCCAGAUGAUAAAAUAAUGUAGGUGGUAUUGACAUCAACGUGGGCUGUCCAAAAGAAUAUUCCACCAAGGUAAAUUGAUUUCUUUAUAUUUCUCAGAAGUAUCCUAUGGAGAUUAAAGGAAGCUAACAAGACAUGAUGGCUAGGUACAGUACCAAGUUCUGGAAUAGAUCCUGAGCUGGAUGGGGAAAAUGCUUGAAAAUCUGUCAGUGGAUCAAUGGGCACAACUGGAACAGGGCCAGGCAUGGUGAUCCAUGCCUGUAAUCCCAGUUAUUUGGGAGGCUGAGGCAGGAGGAUUGCAAAUAUGAAGCCAUCCCAGGCAACUUAGGAGGACCUGUCUCAAAAUAAAACAAUAAAAGAACUGGGGAUGCAGCUCAGUGGUAGAGCACUUGCCUAGCAUGUACAAGGCCCCGGGGUCAACCUCAGGUACUGUUUAAAGAAAAAAAAAAGCAAAGAAAAAACAAUAUGAACAGGGCUUUGUCUUGUCAUGAAUAAUACUGAGACAUACAUAUAAGAUUAUAGAGGGGCUGGGGAUGUGGCUCAAGCAAUAGUGCGCUCGCCUGGCAUGCAUGUGGCCCC
rnacentral:lncRNA from 1 species